rnacentral:rRNA from 1 species
UCCGGUGACUAGAGCGGCGUCGGCCCACCCGUACCCAUCCCGAACACGGUCGUGAAAGGCGCCAGCGCCGACGAUACUGGGGGCACAAGCCUCUGGGACAAUAGGCCGUCGCCGGAA